rnacentral:rRNA from 1 species
UACAGAGGUCCCAAGCGUUGUUCGGAUUUAUUGGGCGUAAAGGGAGCGUAGGCGGUGAGGUAAGUCAGGUGUUAAAAUUCGGUGCUCAACGCCGAAGCGCAUUUGAUACUGCUUUGCUAGAGGAGUGGAGAGGAGACAGGAAUUCACGGUGUAGCAGUGAAAUGCGUAGGUAUCGUGAGGAAGACCCAUGGCGAAAGCAUGUCUCUGAAAACUACCUGACGCUGAUGCUCGAAGGCCAGGGGAGCAAACGGG